rnacentral:rRNA from 1 species
GACGAACGCUGGCGGCGUGCCUAAUACAUGCAAGUCGAGCGGACUUUCAAGAAGCUUGCUUUUUGAAAGUUAGCGGCGGACGGGUGAGUAACACGUGGGCAACCUGCCUGCAAGACGGGGAUAACUCCGGGAAACCGGGGCUAAUACCGGAUAAUAUCUUCCUUCGCAUGAAGGAAGGUUGAAAGGCGGCGCAAGCUGCCGCUUGCAGAUGGGCCCGCGGCGCAUUAGCUAGUUGGGGAGGUAACGGCUCCCCAAGGCGACGAUGCGUAGCCGACCGGAGGGGGUGGUCGGCCAAACGGGGACUUGGACACGGCCCAGACUCCUACGGGAGGCAGCAAUAGGGAAUCUUCCGCAAUGGACGAAAGUCUGACGGAGCAACGCCGCGUGGGCGAAGAAGGUCUUCGGAUCGUAAAGCUCUGUUGUCAGGGAAGAACAAGUACCGUUCGAACAGGGCGGUACCUUGACGGUACCUGACCAGAAAGCCACGGCUAACUACGUG